rnacentral:rRNA from 1 species
UACAGGGGGGGGCAAGCGUUGUUCGGAAUUACUGGGCGUAAAGGGCUCGUAGGCGGCCAACUAAGUCACACGUGAAAUCCCCAGCUUAACCUGGGAACUGCGUGUGAUACUGGAUGGCUUGAAUUCGGGAGAGGGAUGCAGAAUUCCAGGUGUAGCGGUGAAAUGCGUAGAUAUCUGGAGGAAUACCGGUGGCGAAGGCGGCAUCCUGGACCGACAUUGACGCUGAGGAGCGAAAGCUAGGGGAGCAAACGGG